GCCCUCAAUAUUAAGAAGGGGGGAGAAAAAAAUGAGCCAUCCUUGAAACAGAACUUUAGGAAAUGGAGAUCAAAAUAAAUCAAAAAGAUGAAUGUCAAUAAGGAUAUGUCAAUUUGUUUUAUAGCACCCCUUAAGUAAAAAGUUUAAUGAAGAGUAAAGCUUUUAAAAAUGACCCGAUAUGGUGACAAGAAUCUGUUGAUUAUAGUGUUAAUGUAG